GCUCCGGUGGCAUAAUGGUUAGAGCGUCCGCUUCGGAUGCGGGGGGUCGCGGGUUCGAUAUCCGGUCCAGUUAGACCGAAGACU